GGAACAUUGAACUGUCGGCAUAGUGGCAUGUCGAUCUAAUGGGAAAUAUCUCGGACCAUUGAGACGUCGGCACAAUGAGGCGUCAGAAUUACAUGCAUGCGCACGCUGCGACCUGUAGGAAAAGUUUGGAAAAGUUUGUUUGGCUAUCAAUGUUUUAUCGUGUUUUUACUGUUUGAUGUCUGUUUUUGUCUGUGACAUCGAGAUUCUCAAGUGACUUAAACUGUGCACGGUGCUUUUGACUGAAGCAACAUGGAUCUUUUUUGGGUCGUAUCGCUGUUUUUGUUACCUCUCCUGUUUUAUCCGGAUAUCAUCGCUGCUGCCUGCCCAGCCAGGAGGCAAUACAGCAGAAGUGAGUUGCUUCAACUUAAAUUUGUGAGACCGGCUGGCGUGCCAGACACCACGCUACAGAUUCCAGGUCUCAUCCGAAGAUAUCCAAAUAACAUCCACGGAGAAACGGGGGAGAAGAGGGGGAGGCGAGGAGGAGUCCGGCUACGACUGAGGAAGAUGCCGCUUAACCGGCUCCCGCUGCCCUCUAUGAUCCUCGGAAAUGUGCAAUCACUAAGAAAUAAAAUGGAUAAACUCCAGGGGAAUGCCCGCUUUCUUAAGGAUUUUAAAGAGUGCUGCGUGAUGGCGUUUACAGAGACAUGGUUAACCGAGCGCGACCAGGACUCGGACCUGAUGAUCAGCGGCUUUGGAGCUCCGCACCGCCUAGAUCGGAACAGUGAGGUCGUAGGUACAAAAUGCCUGCCUGCAAAACAAAGAGAUACAGAGGCAGUUUUGUUCCAUCAGCCGUCAAAACGUUAAAUAGUAAGUAAGUAAUUAAGCUACACACUAACUUAUUCACCUAUGGAUUGUAUGGCCUUCUUCAUCUUUUCAUUUAUUUAUUUAUUCUGACCUUGUUUUUUGCAUCUGCCAUGAUGGCUUGCAUUUAGUAUUUAUCUAUCUUUUGAUAGUAAUAACCUUUUGUAUGCUUUUUAUCCAUGUUCCUAUGUCUGGAGCACGGUUGUCACUUUUAUGACUCUGUCUGUCGAUGAUGUCAAUGUUGUCUGCAUGUGUGUGUAUGCAGCCAAUUCAUUUUUUCUUUCUACCUGCAACCAAAUCUACCCUCGGGUACAAAUAAAGUUACCUUACCUUACCUUAUAGGGUCGUAAAGUAUUCUGCCCCAUGGUCAUAUUCUAGGAGUGUUGUUGUUUAAAAUCGAAUUACUCCGCCUGUAUCUUUCGGCAUUGAAGCCUAUUUAUUUAUUUAUUCUAAAAUUGUAUUCCUGAUUUCAUACCUGAUUUAAACAGCAGUUAUUGAGAAAUACCUGAUUUCAAAAGUGUUGUUAUUGAGAGAUUUGUACACAUCGUCGGGCCAAGUUCCAAAUCGAUGGUCUCCUUGAUUGAUGACUUGUAUUUCUCAUUUCAUGUAUUUGCAAUGCACUCGCUAAGCUUGU
ensembl:lncRNA